rnacentral:lncRNA from 1 species
GGACCACCCUAAAGAUCAUGUUUACCACCUCUAACUAGAGGAACCAUCGCCUUAAUAGGCUAAACACUCUAUAUUGUAGGCAUAGCUAUCGAAUGAUGGGGACUCUCUAUAAAAAAAUAGCUGAAAGCCCCAAAAUUAUAAAAUGGCCCAAGAAAUGCACUGUAUCUAGAAGAUCUUGCUAACCCAUAAUAACCAUCUCAACUAAAAAACCCUAAAAACAAACCUCUUGAAGGCCAACCAUCGC